CUUUUCUUUUUUUUUUUUCUUUUUUUUCUUUUGGCCAUUCCCAAAGGAAGUAUGUGUUAUUGUGAGUGGUUUCUUCAUUAAAAUCAAAGGUUUUGCACUUACUCCAGCAGAACUGGAAAAUCUCUAGAAACCAGAAACAUGCAUGAUCUGGGUGAUAAGUUUUAUUUCAAAAGACCUCCAGUGGUCUCUGGCCCACGUCCAUCUGCCCUUGGCUUUCUAAUAAAAGCAAUGGGCACAUGUCCAGAUCCCGUGUGCACUUGAGCCACGGAUGUUAAGAACUCACUUCUGCCACUUCCAACAUGGACCUGCUGGGAAAGAAAGCAUCAAGCCCCCCUCCCGGCUGGCUUUACAGUGCAGUAGAAUAGCAGAGAGAGUCGUAAAGAGACCGGUCCUGAUGCUGAGGGAAGUAAAUAGCCCAUCCUCGGUGAUGGCUUGGAGAGAGUAGAGUCUUGCCUGUGAUGAUAAGUUGGGAGCAGUUACAGCUAGGAGCAUCCUACAUGUUGAUCAGCUUUUAACUUCAUCUUCUAGCCCCAACUCAGAAGUAUACAGACGAAUGAGAUGGGAAGAAUGGGGUCAAAGGGAUAGAGAGGAGGUUGAUUUUUUUCCCUCAAUCUCUACUAAUAGGAUUUUGAUGACUUAUGGAUGAAGUUAAUGCUCAUGACUCUUUUCUCUCCUUUUUCCAAAUGAGAGUAAAAUUAAUAGCCAAGGAGAAUGAGAUAGUGGCAUCCUGGGAUGGAAGAGGAUCCAAUCAAGUGUUGUCCACAUUUUGAGAAGUCAGCGGUAAAUCAGGAAGCUUUAUUUCUGGGUCCAGAGUGCUGAGGGAUGCGUUGUUCCCAUCCCAGAAAGUGAGAUAUAGAGGAAGAAGCACGGAUUUGGGGUCGAGGCCAUGGAACUGCCUAUCCCCUCUGCCGCUCACCAGCCACAUUGUCCCAGGUCAACUCACAAGACCCAAGACUGGCUGAGCUCUAUGGGGUGUCACAGAGAAAGUGUUUUGAAAACUGCAAAGCAAAACUGGCAUACGGGGGAGUUCUCUUGUGGCGUGGUGGGUUAAGGAUCCGGCAUUGCCACUGCAGCUGCUUGAGUCACUGCAGUGGCACCUGUUCCAUCCCUGGCCUAGGAACUUCCAUAUGCCGUGGGCACAGCCAAAAGAAAUUAAAAAAUAAAAUAAUGUGGCCUUCAUUUCUUCUUUAUUACAACUAAUCCUUGGAAAUGUUGCUUUAUAAUUGACAGAGAUUUCCAUCCAAUCCAUCCAAUUCACACAAAUGCAAUUUUUAUUUACUCUCUAUCCAUUUGUGGAAAGCAAAUGCCUAAGUACCUCUCUGCCUGCAAGGUAGGAUGUUUCCAGAGAGUGGUGGACUUUGGUUUUGGUUGCUCUGCCCCCUGUGUACCAGGUGAUAUUGUCUGUUCCCACAGUGCAAAGGGAAGAGGAAAGGGAUUAAGGAAAAGAGCAUCGUAGGGAAGCUCAACACUCAGAGUGAUUUGACGUUCUCUUUAGUUUAAAAUGACAUCCAGAGGGUUCGACCUACCUGCUUUAAGUCCAAACAAAUGUAAAUAACUUGGAGAUGAUCUCUGGGGGUUGUUCAUACCGCUUUUCCUAUACGUUAAUGUGAACCAGUGGGGAAUGGAUUAUGGUUUUUGUUUGUUUGUUUGUUUGUUUUGUCUUUUGUCCUUUUAGGGCCGCACCUGCAACAUGUGGAGGUUCCCAGGCUAGGGGUCUAAUCAGAGCUGUAGCCGCCGGCCUACACCAGGGUCACAGCAACUUGGGAUCAGAGCUGCAUCUGCGACCUACACCGCCAGAUCUUUAACCCACUGAGCAAGGCUGGGGAUCAAACCCGCAACCUCAUGGUUCAUAGUCAGAUUCAUUAACCACUGAGCCAUGACGGGAACUCCUGGAUUAUGUUUUCAAUCCACUUUUGAGAUAAAUUCUUGGCCAAAGCAGGUCACUAGGGUGAGAAGCAAGCAGUCUUUAACCUGGAGAAGGAAACUUCAUGGAUGAAUUGCUGCUCCUUCCUCUAGAAGAGGUUUGGAAGGAGUAGCUGAAAGUGUUGGAAAUUGAAAAGUAGAAAUGACAAAAUCCAAGAAUUCCCAUUGUGGCUCAAUAGUUAAUGAACCUGACUAUAUCCAUGAGGCUGUGGGUUUGAUCCCUGGCCUCGCUCAGUGGGUCAGGGAUCCAACGUUGCUGUGAGCUAUGGUGUAGGUCACAGAUGCAGCUUGGAUCCUGUGUUGCUGUGGCUGAGGGGCAGGCCAGCAGCUGCAGCUCUGAUUUGACCCCUAGCCUGGGAACCUCCAUAUGCCAUGGAUGAGACCCUAAAAAGACAAAGAAAGAAAGAACAAAUUCCAAAAGCUUUAUCCUUCAUUAUCAUCAUCAUUAAUAAUAAUAAUGAAAUAAUAAUAGACGACUUCUACUGAAUUUCUUCCAUGCAGUACUAGGUACUUACGUACUCAGUUCCUGUCAUUUCAUCCUUAUAACAGCUCUGAAAGGUACAUAUCAUACUUCCCAUUUUUCAAAUGAGGAAGCCCCAGUGCAGAUGGUUGACAUAACUUGAACAGCUUUUAAGAGGCAGAGCUGGGACUCUCACCCAGAUCCAGCCUCAGGCCUGAGUUCACUCCAUGACUCUGCGCUGCUGCUUGGCUGCUUAUUAGCUGGAUGAGCGGGGUGGAUGGAUUUACAGAGGUACAGGUCUUAAGGUCAAAUAACCUCUGGCUUCAAUCCUGUCACUUAUUCGCCCUGAGGUCUUGGAAGAGUCUGUUAAUCACUCUAAGCCUGUUGUAUCUUCUGCAAAGUAUUGUUAAUAUUGGGCCUUCAGUCCUCUAGAAUUGUUGAGGGGACCAGAUGACAUAACACCUUCUGAGUGCUCCAGACAGGCCAUCUCCUUACAGGGCCUGCCUCUUGAGUGGUAUUGUCUGCAAGGCAUGUUCUUGAAGGUGUGUUUAUCUUAAAGGUUUUAUAGGAGUUCCCAUGUGGCUCAGCGGAUUAAGAACCCAGCUAGUAUCCUCGAGGAGGCCGCAGGUUUGAUCCCUAACCUCGAUCAGUGGGUUAAAGAUCCAGCAUUGAUGCAAGCUGUGGCAUGGGUCACAGAUGCAGCUCGGAUCCCGUGCUACUAUGGCUGUGGUGUAGGCCAGCAGGUGCAACUCCAGUUCAACCUCUUGCCCGGGAACUUUCAUAUACCACUGGUGCAGCCCUAACAAAAAAAGAUUUUAUAUUUUUCUAAGGCAUGGGCAUUUAUCAAGUAAUACAAGCCAUGAUAGGCAAUAAAACCUUUAUUUAAUGAGAGCCCAAAUACUUAUAAGCUCCCUACAAUUUACAUUGCUUUUCUUGUUUUCUUGAAUUCCAGUUUUGAGAGUAAGACACACCAGUAAGAAAAUAAAGGAAUAGCAUAUGGAUUUGCUAAAAAUCCAAACAGCGUGGAAGGUAUUUCUAGGGUCGCAAUCAGAGACCAUUAGAACAGGAAGUUGCCCUCCAGACCACAGCCGUCAAGGUCAAGUCACUUGUCCAAGGUCGCUUCCCCAAUGAGAAGUCUUGGACCCACAGGUUCCUCAUGCUCAGCCCUUUCUGUCACGUCUGCCCAUAUUUCCAUCUGUCUUGUCACCUCCUUGGUCUAAUGCUGCGCACACACGGGCUCUCAGAGUAAGGGCUCUUCAAAUCCUCUCCGCCUACGUGGAAACACCCGCAUUUCUGUUCCUGUAGAUGGUACUUACUCACAGUGAAUGGAUUCAUUUUUUAAAAGGCUUUCAGCCACAAAGGCUAGAAAUAGACAUUUCAGAUUUCAUAGUGUUUCCUUCCCCAAACAGUCUCACUCCCAAGUUUUUUGGGUUUUGUUUCUGUUUUUUCAUUGUUGUUACUUGUCUUCUCUCGUAGUGGCAGAAUAAGUUCCCAAGGCGACUUGGACUCUUGAGAUCACAUAGUGAACUUGAACGUGUUAAUCCCUUGAGCCACCAUGGGGCUCUGCAGAUUGCCCCAGUGCACCCCAGAACAGCCCAUCUCCCCCGCUACAUUGCGUAUGGCUGUCAGGGAGGAAGGCAUGGGUAGCCACAUGGAAGAUAAAGAGCAUGGAAAGAUGCUUUUUGUUGUCCCCACUUAAGGCAAACACAGAAAACACUGCAUUUGGAGAGGGUUAGGCCUGGUUGUUCCUUACUCUCAAACAGAGGAAAUUGGACUUGCGAGGGGAACCAGGGCCGUGCCCCAAAGUGAAAUGUGGAUAUCUCAUUUUUCACGGGCUUUCUUUUCUUUUGAUUGUUUCCUUUCUACCAGUGGCUCCUCUGGGGCAUCCUGCAUCGCAUGAGAACAGAACAUUCUAACAUCUUGCUUUGAAGCCAGGAUUAGAAUGAGCUGCCCUUUAAAUACAGCAACAAAUUAAUCCAGCCCAAACCCCAAUGAGAGAGGUCAGUCCAAUUCUUCCUACUUCACAGACGCGGGGCAUUUCACACAGAGCCACAAGAGAGGGUAAAUACUUGCUCAAGGCCACACAGCAAGUUACUGAGCGGCUUGGAAUCAAUUACACAUAGAGAAAGCUCUUAAUUAUUUGAGGCCUAAGUUGAUGGACAUGUCAUGAUAUCUGCAGCAUCCAGCAGAUACUGUGCAGUCCGAGUGGUUGCCAUAUCAACCGCCUUGAGGUGGGGAGCAACCAGCUUAAACCCCGGAGUGAAGCAGGAGCAGAAUGCAAGAUUUAGAGUACAGAGCCAUCACUACUUUUUUUGUACACGGCUGCAGCACCUAAGACCGUGGCCUAGCUCUAAGAAGCCGUGCCAACCAAAUUUCGGAAGGUAAGCACCGGCCAUGCUUUAUGAUUUCUAGACUCAAAGCUCCUGGACCAGAAUGGCUCUGUUCGCCAUAAUUGUGAUGAAUGAGGGUCAGAACCUUCAAGUUAAUUCAAAUAAAAAAAUGUUUUUAACCUGAUUCUCACAGGGCAGAGAAAGUCCAAGUGAUAGAUUUUUCCAUUUGGGGCCCAAAAGAAUUGGAGGUAA
ensembl:lncRNA